GCCCGCCUAGCUCAAUCGGAUAGAGCGUCAGACUCUUACUCGGGCAGGGUAUAUCUGAAGGCUGCGAGUUAGCGGUGGGCU